AUGCACCACCCGAGGGCCCGGUACCCGCCCGGCUACGACUACGGCGGCGGUGGCGGCGGCCGCGGCGGUAACGGCGGCGGCGGAGGCGGUGGAGGAGGUGGCGGCGGGAACCAAAACUACUACGGCGGCCGAAACCCGCAUCCCCAGCACCACGAUUACCAGCAGCAGCAGCCGCACGCGCAGAGGAACUCGUUCCCGCAGCAGCAGCAGCAGCAGCACACGCAGAGGAACUCGUUCUCGCAGCAACAGCAGCAGCAGCAUCAGCAACAACAGCAUCAGCAGUGGCUGCGGCGGGACCAGGCCGCGGCCCAGGCGUCAGGAGAGGGUGCGGCCAGGACGGUGGCGCGACUCGACGCGGUGGACACGAGCUCUCAAGAUUGGAAGGCACAGUUGAAUAUUCCAGCUCCAGAUACUCGUUUUAGGACAGAGGAUGUUACUGCAACGAAAGGCAACGAGUUUGAAGAUUAUUUUUUGAAACGUGAGCUACUUAUGGGAAUAUAUGAGAAGGGAUUUGAAAGGCCAUCUCCUAUUCAAGAAGAAAGCAUUCCAAUUGCUCUAACUGGAAGUGAUAUUCUUGCAAGAGCGAAAAACGGCACCGGGAAGACCGCUGCAUUUUGCAUUCCAGCACUCGAAAAGAUUGACCCAGAGAAAAAUGCCAUACAAGUUGUUAUACUGGUACCAACAAGGGAACUAGCUCUGCAGACUUCACAAGUUUGCAAAGAGCUUGGAAAAUACCUGAAUAUUGAAGUUAUGGUUAGUACUGGAGGAACCAGCUUGAAGGACGACAUUAUGCGUUUGUACCAACCUGUUCAUUUACUCGCCGGGACACCUGGCCGUAUACUAGAUCUUACCAAGAAGGGCAUUUGUAUGCUGAACGAAUGUUCAAUGCUCAUCAUGGACGAGGCAGACAAGCUGUUAGCUCCUGAGUUUCAGCCUUCCGUGGAGCAACUCAUUCGUUACCUUCCAGCUAGUCGGCAACUAUUGCUGUUUUCUGCAACCUUUCCUGUAACUGUCAAGGAUUUUAAGCAGAAAUACCUACCUAGACCCUAUGUUAUUAAUCUGAUGGAUGAACUAACACUGAAAGGAAUCACACAAUACUAUGCCUUCGUAGAAGAAAGGCAAAAGGUUCAUUGUCUGAACACGCUUUUCUCAAAGCUUCAAAUAAAUCAGUCUAUUAUAUUCUGCAACUCUGUUAAUAGAGUUGAGCUACUGGCAAAGAAAAUCACUGAACUUGGCUAUUCGUGCUUCUACAUUCAUGCUAAAAUGUUGCAAGACCACCGAAACCGGGUGUUUCAUGAUUUUCGGAAUGGUGCUUGCAGAAACCUUGUUUGCACAGAUCUUUUUACCAGAGGAAUUGACAUUCAAGCUGUUAAUGUUGUCAUUAAUUUUGACUUCCCCAAGACUGCUGAAACAUAUUUGCAUAGGGUUGGUCGUUCUGGAAGAUUUGGACACCUUGGUUUGGCGGUGAACUUAAUCACUUAUGAGGACCGUUUCAACAUGUAUAGGAUUGAGCAAGAACUUGGGACAGAAAUAAAAACAAUACCUCCACAGAUUGACCUGGCGGAGUAUUGCCAAUGA
rnacentral:rRNA from 1 species